rnacentral:rRNA from 1 species
GAUGAACGCUAGCGGGAGGCUUAACACAUGCAAGUCGAGGGGUAGGGAAGCAAUUCCUGAGACCGGCGGACGGGUGCGUAACGCGUAUGCAACCUGUCUUAUACAGGGGGAUAGCCCAUGGAAACGUGGAUUAACACCCCAUAGGAUUACGGGAUCGCAUGAUUUUGUGAUUAAAACUGAGGUGGUAUAAGAUGGGCAUGCGUCUGAUUAGGUAGUUGUUAGGGUAAUGGACUACCAAGCCGACGAUCAGUAGGGGUUCUGGGAGGAUUACCCGCCACAGUGGUACUGAGACACGGAGCAGACGCCUACGGGGGGCAGCAGUGAGGAAUAGUGGUCAAUGGCCUGAAGGCUGAACCAGCCAUCCCGCGUGCAGGAUGACGGCCAUAUGGGUUGUAAACUGCUUUUGUAACUGAAGAAUAGGCCCAACGAGUUGGGAUUUGCCGGUUAGGUAUGAAUAAUUAUCGGCUAACUCCGUGCCAGCAGCCGCCGUAACAC